AGCGAACGUUAGCGGCGCGCCUAACACAUGCAAGUCGCACGAGAAAGGGCUUCGGCCCCGGUAAAGUGGCGCACGGGUGAGUAACACGUGGGCAACCUGCCCAACCCUGGGGGAUAACCUGCCGAAAGGCGGGCUAAUACCGCGUACGAGGGCUCGACUUCGGUCGGGUUCUGAAAGCAGGCCUCUGUAUACAAGCUUGUGGGGUUGGAUGGGCCCGCGCUCCAUCAGCUAGUUGGUGAGGUAACGGCUCACCAAGGCUACGACGGAUAGCUGGUCUGAGAGGAUGAUCAGCCACACUGGAACUGAGACACGGUCCAGACUCCUACGGGAGGCAGCAGUGGGGAAUCUUGCGCAAUGGACGAAAGUCUGACGCAGCGACGCCGCGUGGGUGACGAAGGCCUUCGGGUUGUAAAGCCCUGUGGGGUGAGACGAACAGCUGGGGUUCGAAUAGGGCCUUGGUCUGACGGUAUCACCUUAGCAAGCACCGGCUAACUCUGUGCCAGCCGCCGCAGUAACAC
rnacentral:rRNA from 1 species